CUGCACGUUUCGCACAUGCUCAGAACUUCUUGGCCGAAAACUCGAAAUUUUAGUGCCGGCAGUCGCCGGUCAGCCAGUUGCAGCACUAGCUGCGUAACGCGGUAACAAGGACGCCCAUAUGAUUGCCACCUCUCUUAUUUUACUUGCUCUAUGACCUGCACUUUACCGACUGUAUUGCAGCUGGCAUGUUGAUAGAGCGUGGAGAAAAAACUUGAGUUUAAUAAACUUAAGAGAUAAGCAGAUCGGUGUAUAAAAAAUUCUGCGAACACUUAUGCAGGAGACAGAUUCUACUGCUUUUGAGAGGACGAUCCAAGAAUUCAUUGCUCAGUUACAAGAUGAUCUAGCAACUGUAGAGUUUGGUCAUUAUUUUGAAAAUCAUUAUUUAAAUAAUUGCAUAAGUUGAGCCUACAGUUAUAUAGUUCAUUGCGGUUUGAAUAUGCACAUUGAACGAAUGCACAAAUCAAUAAAAUAUAUAUAUAUG
rnacentral:lncRNA from 1 species